rnacentral:lncRNA from 1 species
AUUGAGUUUGACAUAUAUUCAUACUCAUAUACAUAUUUGGGAUGCAGUUUGAUUAAAGGAUUGAAUUGCAUGGUAACUUGCCACUGAAGGGUAUUUUUGGUAUUUCACCAAAUUUCAUAUUUUCUGGGUAGACAUGACACGUUGCUAGACGUCAAUCUUGUCUUAUAGGUUUGAUCGAACUAAAGAGUUUAAUUCGAUCAUCAAUUAGAAAGGAUUCUAAUUGUUAAGUUCGGGUUCGCACAGUUUGGACUUAAAUCGAUUAGAAGAGUUCUAAUCAAGUUGGGUCAACUCGCACUCACACCUAUUGCUGGCUAAGUAUGGAACCCAAUGGG